AUUGUGCUGUAAAAAUAUAAUAAAAGGAAUGGUUUCAGAAAAUCCUAAGGCAAAUUUUAAGAACUAAUACAAAGUAAAGGGAGCAGAUCUGGAGCAGAUCCAAGACAUUAAAUUGGUUAAUAACAACAACAUUGUAAGAACUAACAGUUUUGAAAGACUUAAGUAUGCAGAAUUGCUUAAUGACCAACCAUUAUUCAAAAUAAGCAAUGAUGGAUUAUGCCUGACAGACAGUGAUGGACUCUAGGUGAAAAUGAGAUAUACAUUUGUCACAUAUGAUCAAUGUUAUAUGAUCACACACAUAGCAAGUGACAGAUGUAGGAUUCGAACCUUAGUCUUCCAGACACUAAUGACAUCAUUCUACUUUUCUGCUACAAACCAAGAGGACUAAGGUGGUCCUUAAACCAGUGCCAGUAAGGACUUAAAAAAGACUUCUAGAUCAUUCCUGGGUCUUACAUACUUUUGAUCAUUUCAUUGAUAACUUUUUUAUCAUAUUCAUUUUUGAAUCUCCACAUCCUCUUCCCUUUACUCAGUGAUUCUUCUCUUGUAACAAACAACAGUAAAGGAUAAGUAAAACUGUUAUGUUCAUCAAUCUCAUCUGAUAGUAGGCUCAGGCAUUACAGAAUUGUCAUACAUUGGAAGGAGUAUUGGCUCUGUGGUCAGACAUUGUUUCAGUCAUGUCUGAUUCUCCAUGACCCCAUAAGAGGUUUUUUUGGUAAAGAUAUUGGAGUGGUUCUCCAUUUCCUUCUCUCAUAUAUUUUACAAAAGAGGACACUGAGAUAAACUGGGUUAAGUGACUUGCCCAGGGUCACACAGGUAGUAAAUAUCUAAAGUCAGAGUUAAACUCAGGAUGAUGAAUCUUCCUAAUUCCAAGUUCAGGGCUGUCUCCAUUCACUGCACUACCUUGCUGACCCUUGUAGUAGGAAGAUCGGGGUUCAAUUUUGUCUCUGUUGUUUGCUACUAAUUGCCAAAUAUUGGCCAAAUCACUUCAGCUGAGUGUCAUUUUACUCAUCUUUAGAACAAGGAGAUUGGACGUCAUUGUGCCUGAGGUACUUUCUGGCUGAUCCAGGAUUCUACUAUAUUAGAUUGUAGACAAAUACCUCUCCAAUAAAAGGAAGGGGUUUCACUUUCUUAUUUCUCCU
rnacentral:lncRNA from 1 species